rnacentral:lncRNA from 1 species
AAAAUUCUAAAGUUUAAAAAUUUUAUAAUAUAAUUAUAUAUGUAUAUAAUUAUAUAUAUGUAUAAUUAUAAAAUAAAAUUUUAAAAAAUUAUAUUAUUUGUUUGCAUAUAAAUUAUAAUAAUGCAACAAAUAAAAUUCUAAAGUUAAAAAAUUAUUAACAUUUAACAAAUUUAUUUUUCAUCAUUUUCUAAAUAUACAAAUUAGACAAAAAAUAUAUUAAAACUUACCUAAUCAAAUUUGAUUACAUUACCUAACCAAAUUUAACAAGCUCCUUUGCCUCUUUGUACUUCACCGGAAUUGACUUCGCCCCGUGGGAGGGUGAAAUCAAUUACCCUAUUUGGAUAAACUGGACUUUCGGCCGUAAUAAAAUUACAACAAAACAAGCAACGGAAAUGAUAGUUUACGGCGUAAACAACUUCCCCGCACGGAAAUUAAUUUUUUUUUUAUAUACCAUAUGUCACAAUAUAAUUUUUUUCGCUUAUUUUUUCUUUAUAUUUAAUUUUUUAUCUAUUAUUUUUGUUCAA